UACGGGGGGGGCAAGCGUUGUCCGGAAUUAUUGGGCGUAAAGAGCGUGUAGGCGGUCCGGUAAGUCGGCUGUGAAAGUCCAGGGCUCAACCCUGGGAUGCCGGUCGAUACUGCCGGACUAGAGUUCGGAAGAGGCGAGUGGAAUUCCCGGUGUAGCGGUGAAAUGCGCAGAUAUCGGGAGGAACACCUAUGGCGAAGGCAGCUCGCUGGGACGUUACUGACGCUGAGACGCGAAAGCGUGGGGAGCGAACAGG
rnacentral:rRNA from 1 species